rnacentral:rRNA from 1 species
GACAGAGGUGCCAAGCGUUAGGCGGAAUCACUGGGCUUAAAGCGUGUGUAGGUGGAUGCCUAAGUACCUUGUGAAAUCCCACGGCUCACCCGUGGAACUGCUGGGUAUACUGGGUGUCUUGAGCCACUUAGGGGUCGCUGGAACAAACGGUGGAGCGGUGAAAUGCGUAGAUAUCGUUUGGAACGCCAAUGUGAAAACAGGCGAACUGGGAGUGGUGCUGACACUGAGACACGAAAGCCAGGGGAGCGAACGGG